GUCCCAAGUCAGGAGCCUGUAAUUCAGUGGUUGUCGUUUGUUUAUAUGUUACAUAUUUGUUUUUCGUUCAUUUUUUUUUUAUACAAAUAAGGCCGUUAGUUUUCUUGUUUGAAUUGUUUUACAUUGUCAUAUCGGGGCCUUUUAUAGCUGACUAUGCGGUAUGGGCUUUGCUCAUUGUUGAAGGCCGUACGGUGACCUAUAGUUGUUAAUGU
rnacentral:lncRNA from 1 species